AAAUUCUUUAAAGAAACUAAAAAAGUUAAAAAAAAAUAUUUCCCUUGUGCACGGCUCACAGAAAAGUACCAUUUCAAUUAAUAUGCAACUAAUAUUUCAUUUACAUUUGAAAUUCUUCUUACUUUAAGCGUGCUGAACUAAUGUAAACUUUUGUAAGCUUCAUGUAAACUUUUUUGUAGCAAAAAGGAUAGAUUAACUGCCAAAUCUGUCGAGAGGAUCACACACUUCCGAUGAGACUGUUCCCAUAGCAACCAGAUUUUAGGAGAAAUUUCUGGAUCUCUUCCUGCCUAUAUAAUGACGCGGCGGCAUGUUUGUUGUAAUUUGAAUUUGCGAAUUGUCAAAAUACGAUUUUGCAUUCACUGAAGAGUAAUUCCUAUUUCUGCUUUUGUUCUCUAUUGCUAUACGAUUUACUAUUUCGUUGUGUAUUUAUCGUGAAACCUCUGCUUCGAAAUGGCGUUUUCUUUGCUACCUCUGUUGACCGGCGGCAAUUCAUGGUGGGAUACAUGGGACUACCCCUCCACGCUGCUCGACCAACAUUUUGGAAUGGGUUUGCUGGACUCUGAUUUGCGUCCUCCUCAAUUUUACAGAGGAUAUCUCCUUCGACCCCGAACCCAAAUGAACAUCGAUGCAUCGGGACUGUCUGAAGUGAAAAAUGAAAAAGAUAAAUUUCAAGUGAAGUUGAACGUCAGUCAUUUUAAGCCUGAAGAAAUCAACGUAAAGGCUGUUGACAACUCAAUCGUCAUUCAUGGUAAACACGAGGAGAAAUCUGACGAACAUGGUUUCAUCUCCAGAGAAUUCACUCGUCGGUACAUGCUACCGGAGGGAACCGAACCCGAAACUGUUACAUCAACCCUUACACCCGAUGGUUGUUUAGUCAUCGAAGCUCCAAAGAAAGCAAUCGAGCCUCCACCUUCAAAGGAAAAAGUUAUCCCAAUUGAUGUCCAGAAAUCUGAAGAUAAAUGAACUGUUUCUGAACUGAUCCUCCUAAAUACUGAAGCACUCUGGGGAAAUUUACUUCGUUAUGUAUCAUGAUGGAUGUCAAAUGAUAUGAAGUGGAAUCAAGGGAAACCCUGUUCUACAAAAUCAUAAGAUCAAAAACCUUUGGAUGUUCUGUAUUAAUUUAUCUUUAAUAGACUUGAAGCUAAAACCAAGAAGUAAG
rnacentral:misc_RNA from 1 species